UUACUCAGCAGUUGGGCCCCCCUGACAGCUGUUCAAUGGGGAUUAUGAUGUCACAGUGGUAAUUACACUAUAAACAGGGGAUGGGGGAUAGGAAAGCAUGAAAGAGAACUGUGAGCUCUUGUUACCAGGCAACACAAAAUCUGUAACCUGAAACCCAGCAAGCAUGUAAAUUCCCUUACAAGCCUCCCAGAUGUCCUCACUUCAGGGCCAACAGCUCAGUUUCAGUUUCAAUUUGUUUAUUUACUCUUCUCCAGUCACCAGUGUGGACCUGAGAAUGUUGGAAGAGAGAGGAGAAAGCAAAGGAAAAUGGGAAAAGGAGGGAUUGUGUUUUCUGCACGGGGUGGCAGCCAACAGGAGAGAGAACCAAGGACCUUGCCCCUUCUGCAGAGGAUUUGGAAACAGGUGCACUCUCCCACGGAAUGUCUGCCUUCCUAAGCAGAAUCAAGCACAUCUCCACUCCCCAGUCCACCUGUGGUCCCCUUUUCCAGAGAGCUACUGA
rnacentral:lncRNA from 1 species